AUGAACGCUGGCGGCGUGCUUCACCCCUGCAAGUCGAGCGAGAAGUUUUGAAAAGAUUCUUCGGAUGAAAUUUAAAAUGGAAAGCGGCGGACGGGUGAGUAACGCGUAGGCAACCUGCCCCAUACAAAGGGAUAGCAUUUGGAAACGAAUAUUAAUACCUUAUGAAACUUAACUAGUGCAUGCUAGGUAGGUCAAAGAUUUAUCGGUAUGGGAUGGGCCUGCGUCUGAUUAGCUAGUUGGUGAGGUAACGGCUCACCAAGGCGACGAUCAGUAGCCGACCUGGGAGGGUGAACGGCCACAUUGGAACUGAGACACGGUCCAAACUCCUACGGGAGGCAGCAGUGGGGAAUAUUGCACAAUGGGGGAAACCCUGAUGCAGCAACGCCGCGUGAACGAUGAAGGCCUUUGGGUCGUAAAGUUCUGUUCUAGGUGAUGAAAACUGACAGUAACCUAGGAGAAAGCCCCGGCUAACUCCGUG
rnacentral:rRNA from 1 species